GGGCUGGAGAGACCAGGCCCACAUCGCUGAAGGAGUGGGCGUGGAGCAGGGGAGGAUGAGGGCGAUGGGCAUGCGGGAAGGAGCAGCGAGGUCGGAGUUCCAGGGGAUGCCGGCCGUCGUCACAUGUCCCCAGUAUCUGAGGAACAAAAAGAAGGGGAUGAAUCUUGAGGAAGAGCUUGGCUAAGAACAAGAUCUGAGGAACAAAAAUAAGGGGAUGAAUCUUGAGGAAGAGCUUGGAUAAGAACAAGGUGUUCGUAAUGGCAACGGUUGUAAUCAACGAUGAGAAAAAGGGACUGAGAUUGGAUUUGUACUAGGCAUGUUCCUCAUCUCUCUCAGUCCUUGUUCCUAUCCCCACCCUGAUGUAACUGUUUCUUCACAACUGUUGGAUGUGUCUUAGGAGAUAAAUGC